AAAGCGUGCGCAGGCGGUUGUGCAAGACAGAUGUGAAAUCCCCGGGCUCAACCUGGGAAUUGCAUUUGUGACUGCACGGCUAGAGUGUGUCAGAGGGGGGUAGAAUUCCACGUGUAGCAGUGAAAUGCGUAGAUAUGUGGAGGAAUACCGAUGGCGAAGGCAGCCCCCUGGGAUAACACUGACGCUCAUGCACGAAAGCGUGGGGAGCAAACAGGAUUAGAUACCCGAGU
rnacentral:rRNA from 1 species